AUUGAACGCUGGCGGCGUGCUUAACACAUGCAAGUCGAUCGGUAACGCGGGGGCAACCCUGGCGACGAGAGGCGGACGGGUGAGGAACGCUUGGGAAUCUGCCUAUCAGCGGGGGACAACCCGGGGAAACUCGGGCUAAUACCGCAUACGCUCUACGGAGGAAAGCCGGGGACCGCAAGGCCUGGCACUGAUAGAUGAGCCCAAGUCGGAUUAGCUAGUUGGCGGGGUAACGGCCCACCAAGGCGACGAUCCGUAGCUGGUCUGAGAGGACGAUCAGCCACACUGGGACGGAGACAAGGCCCAGACUCAUACGGGAGGCAGCAGUGGGGAAUAUUGGACAAUGGGGGAAACCCUGAUCCAGCGACGCCGCGUGGGUGAAGAAGGCCUGCGGGUUGUAAAGCCCUUUCGGUAGGGACGAAAGCUCUCGACCUAACACGUCGGGAGGUUGACUUAACCUACAAAAGAAGCACCGGCUAACUCUGUGCCAGCCGCCGCCGUAAUAC
rnacentral:rRNA from 1 species